rnacentral:lncRNA from 14 species
GGGAAGGGCUAUGCAGGCAGUUAGAGGCAGGAUACCCCAGAACAGCUAUGUCCCCAGUUCCUAUGCUCUGAGGCCACCGAGUGGAAAGCAGCAGUAAGAAUUGGUGAGAGGACACAAGGGCUAUUGUCCCUAAGUGCAGACAGAGGCACCAGAGAACAAAAUGAGGGGUGGCUAGAACUUAGCCUACCUAGACCCUGGCACAAGCUCCCAAAUUCUAGCAGACUCACAGGACCAGCCAAGAAAAUGCAGGACUAUGGUCCCCAGGCUUCCUGUUCGGUGUACCUGCUGCUGCUACCACUAUUGUCUAUGCCAUUUAUUGCAGUCCAGAGCUUCCUGUACCCUCAAUCUAUCCAAAAACCCUAUCCUGAGGAAACUGCUAGGUUCUUCAAUUAUCAAUUCAGUAAGUCAACCAAGAUUGGGGUAGAUGAGGAAGAUCCCCUGCAGUAUUGUGAAGGUGACUUUGACAUUUACUUCGUCUUUGACAAGUCCAAAGCCGUAACUUCGUGGAAUGACUUGUACACAUCCUGGGAAGAUUUGGUGGAGAAAUACGUGAACCCCAAACAGCAUAUGAGCUUCAUUCUGUUUGAUACCAGAGCUUCAAUCAAAACGCCACUCAUCUCAGAAAGGUGGAAGAUCCGCCAAGAGCUCACCAAACUUGACAGCCAGGUGUUAGAAGGAGCGACAAAUCUACAGAAAGGACUGGAAAAGGCUAACGAACAGAUCCAAAAUGUCAACUCGGGAGCCACUAAGAGGUCUAGUCUGAUCAUUGCUGCCGUUUGGGGGGAAUUGACACCACAAGUAUUGAAGGAGUCUAAGGACGAGGCUGAUAAAGCUCGGAGCAUGGGAGCCUAUGUUUACUGUGUCGGUCUAAACUCCUCUGAGAGACAAAAGGUAACUUGGCCCAGUUGA